AUGUUCUCUACAUUUCUACUGCUCCUGCUGGCAGCUGCUUCCUAUGUUCAUUCUUAUGAACUGACUCAGCCUGCUGCAAUGACAGUCCAGCCAGGCCAGAGUCUCUCCAUCCCCUGCAAGCCUUCAUAUUCAGUUACAAGUGCAGCUACAGCUUGGAUCCGACAACCUGCAGGAAAAGCUCUGGAGUGGAUUGGAAACAUCUAUAGUGACGGGAGUACAGACUACAGUGACAAACUGAAAAAUAAGUUUAGCCUCUCCAGAGACACUUCUACUAACACAGUAACAAUUCAAGGACAGAAUCUGCAAACUGAAGACACAGCUGUGUAUUACUGCGCAAAGUACACACAGUGA